rnacentral:rRNA from 1 species
GACAGAGGGGGCAAGCGUUGCUCGGAAUCACUGGGCGUAAAGGGCGCGUAGGCGGGAUGCAAGUCGGUCGUGAAAUCCUUCGGCUCAACCGAAGAACGUCGGCCGAUACUGCCGUUCUUGAGGGAUGCAGAGGAGAUUGGAAUUCCCGGUGUAGCGGUGAAAUGUGUAGAGAUCGGGAGGAACACCGGUGGCGAAGGCGGGUCUCUGGGCAUCUCCUGACGCUGAG